GGGAGUGUAGCUCAGUUGGUAGAGCAACGGCCUUUUAAGCCGAAAUCACAUCUUGAAGCAUUUCCC
rnacentral:tRNA from 1 species